UUUCAUUUUGUUUUUUCAUUUUUUAUUUUUUUAUUUUUUGGUGUUUUCCUGCUGGCUGUCCCUGUUUGAAAGUGGGAAGGAGGAAAUGGGAGGC
rnacentral:ribozyme from 1 species